GCCAGGUGAAGUGGUGUACGCCUGUAAUCCUAAUUAUUAAGGAGGCUAAGGCAGGAGGAUUACCAAGUUUGAGGCAAUUAUUAGUAAUUUAGACCCUGUCUCCA
rnacentral:sRNA from 1 species